UACGGGGGGGGCAAGCGUUGUUCGGAAUUACUGGGCGUAAAGGGCUCGUAGGUGGCCAACUAAGUCAGACGUGAAAUCCCUCGGCUUAACCGGGGAACUGCGUCUGAUACUGGAUGGCUUGAGUUUGGGAGAGGGACGCGGAAUUCCAGGUGUAGCGGUGAAAUGCGUAGAUAUCUGGAGGAACACCGGUGGCGAAGGCGGCGUCCUGGGCCAACACUGACACUGAGGAGCGAAAGCCAGGGGAGCAAAUGGG
rnacentral:rRNA from 1 species